UAGGGAAUCUUCGGCAAUGGGGGCAACCCUGACCGAGCAACGCCGCGUGAGUGAAGAAGGUUUUCGGAUCGUAAAGCUCUGUUGUAAGAGAAGAACGAGUGUGAGAGUGGAAAGUUCACACUGUGACGGUAACUUACCAGAAAGGGACGGCUAACUACGUGCCAGCAGCCGCGGUAAUACGUAGGUCCCGAGCGUUAUCCGGAUUUAUUGGGCGUAAAGCGAGCGCAGGCGGUUAGAUAAGUCUGAAGUUAAAGGCUGUGGCUUAACCAUAGUACGCUUUGGAAACUGUUUAACUUGAGUGCAGAAGGGGAGAGUGGAAUUCCAUGUGUAGCGGUGAAAUGCGUAGAUAUAUGGAGGAGCACCGGUGGCGAAAGCGGCUCUCUGGUCUGUAACUGACGCUGAGGCUCGAAAGCGUGGGGAGCAAACAGGAUUAGAUACCCUGGUAGUCCACGCCGUANCGAUGAGUGCUAGGUGUUGGGUCCUUUCCGGGACUCAGUGCCGCAGCUAACGCAUUAAGCACUCCGCCUGGGGAGUACGACCGCAAGGU
rnacentral:rRNA from 1 species